GAGAAUUGAGAGGGGUUGCUCCUAGUACGAGAGGACCGGAGUGAACGAACCGCUGGUGUUCGGGUUGUCAUGCCAAUGGCAUUGCCCGGUAGCUACGUUCGGAACUGAUAAGCGCUGAAAGCAUCUAAGCGCGAAGCAGGCCUCGAGAUGAGUUCUCACUAGACUUUUAAAGUCUCUGAAGGGCCGUUGAAGACUACAACGUUGAUAGGCAAGAUGUGGAAGUGGUGUGAGCCAUUAAGCUAACUUGUACUAAUUACCCGUGAGGCUUAACCAUACAACGCCAAACGCGUUU
rnacentral:rRNA from 1 species